rnacentral:misc_RNA from 1 species
GGAAUUCUUAUUGUUAGCCAUGCCCGGAUGAUCGUGAAUAUCCAAAUCGCUCGGAGAUUUUGCCUAGAUUCAUAAUCGACUCACUUGAAGUUUGGAUUUAUAAUGUGAGUCGGCGUAAGUUUGAGGACAGAUCGGAAUCCAAAUUUCACAUCCUGCGACAUGUUUCUAUCCGGUAGAUAGGGGUCAAUAUAAUCUGAAAACAUUGGAGUUAUGGAAUUGAAACUGAACACAACGAAAAUUUGGAAAUCAAAUAAAAUAUUUUGAAAGCGGAAGACGGAGAAUUUGAACGGCAAAGCGGUAUUGAAG